AUACUCAGCUGGCAGGGGAGAUUCCAUGAUCACGAAGGUGGUUUCCCCAGGGUGAGGCUUAUCCAUUGAGCUCCAGAUAGGCUGACCCCUGCAAUUUCCUCAAAUGUGGGAAACUCAAGUGCAUACUUUUUGGUAGUGGGGGAUUGCAUUCGUGCUCUCCCCUG